UCAGGCCUGGCGUCCAGAACUUAAGAGUUGGCUCCGGGCGGCAACGGGGAUGCAGAAGCGAGCGAGCCUGCGAGAGCACCGAGGCUAGCCUCCGAGGCGAACCCCAGAAACGCCAGGACGGGUAACUUGCCCCUUUGCACUUCCCCGCUCAGCCCACUCAGGUUGCGGCUGGGAAUGACCCUCGCCGGCCGCCGUUCUUCUUCCGGAAGUCGUUGGCCGUUACCAUAGUGACUGUAGGCGUCCGGAGCGCUGAGCAGAGUCCCAGCUGCUAGGGAGGCUGAGGCAGGAUUGCUUGAGCCUGGGAAGCGGAGGUUGGAGGAAGCCGUGAUUGUACCACUGCAUUCCAGCCAGGGCAACAGAGCAAGACUCCAUCUCAAAAAUAAUUGUCCAUUUCAUCCAAGUUGUAUAAUUUGUUGGCAUAAAAUUGUUCAAAGGAUC
rnacentral:lncRNA from 1 species